UAGCGGGGGUAAAAGGGCGUAUGGCGGAUGGCUCGAGAUAAAAUGGGCGACGAAGGGCGUGGCGUGACUGCGUUAAGCUUGGGGGAGGUGUCUAGCAACCUUUGAUCCCAAGAUUUCCGAAUGGGGAAACCCGUUCCGACGAUAAGUCGGAACGCCCCGACUGAAACGUCGGGGCGCGAACCCGCUGAAGUAAAACAUUUCAGUAAGCGGAGGAAAAGAGAAUAAUAAUUUAUUCCCCCAGUAGCGGCGAGCGAAAAGGGAAGAGCCCAGAUCUUUUCUAGUUUUCUAGUUUACUAGUUGGCUAGUUAAGAAGUAGUAAGUUUAGUCCGUCCCGAGAGGGGGAGAGUUCAAGUAUUAAGGUUUGUCUAGCAGAACGGCCCUGGAAAGGCCGGCCAAAGAGGGUAAUAGCCCCGUAAGCGAAAGUCACCUUUGACUCUCUGGACUAAACCCCCACACCAAAAUUUUUUGGUGUGGGGGUGAACUUGAGUACCUCGAAAAAUGUGUAGUUCGGGGGAAUCUGCCGGCACGAGCCGGUAAGGCUAAAUACCAUUUAUCAUCGAUAGUGAACCAGUACCGUGAGGGAAAGUUGAAAAGCAGCCCGGUGAGGGCGGUGAAAUAGUACCUGAAACCAUAUGCUUACAAGGAGUCGGAGCCCCGAUGCGCAAGCAUCGAGGGUAACGGCGUGCCUAUUGAAGAAUGAGCCAACGACUUAUUCAGCAUCUUUUGUCUAAGGGCGCAGAGCCCGGAGGCGAAGGGAAACCGAGUCUUAAAAGGGCGAUUUUGGUAUUUAUUUAUCAAAAAAGGUGCUGGAUAGACCCGAAGCCGGAUGAGCUUGCCAUGGCCAGGGUGAACCCCGCCGAAAGGCGGGGGGAGGCCCGAACCGUUUAGCCGUUCAAUACUAUCGGAUGAGCUGUGGCAAGGAGUGAAAAGCUAAUCGAAUUCGGUAAUAGCUGGUUCUCUCCGAAAUAGCUUUAGGGCUAGCGUCCGCCAAAAAUUAGCAGGUAGAGCUACUAGAAGGUUCGUAUAGGGCGAAAGCUCGACGAUCCUACUAAACUCCGAAUGGCUAAUCUAUUUAGGCGGAUAGUCAGACUAUGGGGGCUAAGCUCCAUUGGUCAAAAGGGAAACAGCCCAGAUCUCAAUCUAAGGUCCCUAAAUUUCUGCUAAGUGCAAAGAAGGUGGUGGAGUUUCUUAAACAGCGAGGAGGUUGGCUUAGAAGCAGCCAUCCUUUAAAGAGUGCGUAACAGCUCACUCGUCAAGAGACUUCGCGCCGAAAAUUAUCGGGGCUAAGCAGAGUACCGAAGGUGAGAAUUUUGUCCUAAACUUAGUUUGGGACAGAGUGGUAGGAGAGCGUUCCAAAUGCAGUGAAGCCCACGGCGCGAGCCGGAGUGGAGCGUUUGGAAGCGAGAAUGUUGGCACAAGUAACCACAAGUCCGGUGAAAGCCCGGACCACCGAAAACCCAAGGUUUCCUUGGCAAUGACAAUCAGCCAAGGGUUAGUCGGCCCUAAGCCAAUGGCGAAAGCCGGAGGCGAUGGACAGCAGGUUAAUAUUCCUGCACUGCGUAUAGUUUUGACGGCAGGACGGAGUCUAGUAUGCAAAGCGCAUUAUUGGAUUUGCGUUCGGGCUUUGAGGAUAGAGCGCAGGCAAAUCCGCGCUCAAGCGCUUUAAUGCGCGUUAUCCAAGAAGAGCGAAAAUUUUUUCCGCAAGGUUAAGAAAUUUUGCAAAGCAGGCUUCCCAGAAAAAUGUCUAAAAUUAUCUAUACGCAACCGUACCGAAAUCCGACACAGGUGGGUAGGUCGAGUAGACCAAGGUGAACGAGUGAAAGAUCCCCAAGGAACUCGGCAAAAAAGCAUCCGUAAGUUCGCAAUAUGGAUUUCCCGACCUCGCAAGAGUGUCGGGACGCAGCGAAAGUACCCCUGGCGACUGUUUAACAAAAACACAGCUCCCUGCAAACUCGUAAGAGGAAGUAUAGGGGGUGACGCCUGACCAAUGCGAGAAGGUUAACGCUGGCGUUCCUCCGACGUUACGUCGGAGGGGUGACCGGCCGAAGCCCUCGUCAAUGUCGGCCGUAACUAUAGAAAUUUGUCCGUUGUAGUUACGUUAAAAAAUCUCGCUAUAUGCGGGAAACUCUGGCAGGAUUCACAGCUACUCAUCGCAGUCGAGCGAAAGUAACAAUGCUGUGAUGCAGACAAUCCGCAGGAAACUUCUUUGAUUAAAAAAUCAAAUGACUGAAUGGAUAAAAACCAUUGAUCCAAAAAUCGGUUAUUACAUAGCCGGAUUUACAGACGGAGAAGGAAGCUUCAAUGUUUCUGUAAAAAAAGAAAUGAUUAUAAGGAUCAAUGGAAACUUACAGCUUCGUUUAACAUCUCUCAAAAAGAUCGCGUAAUCUUAGCGCAAAUCAAAAACGUGCUUGGAUGCGGGACUUUAAGAGAAAGACCGGAUGGAGUUGUGUACUACGAAGUGACCAAUGUUCGGUCGCUUCAAGAAAAAAUUAUUCCUUUCUUUGAGCGGUUUGGGUUUCUAUCCGCAAAUAAAAAAAGAAACUUCUCGAUUUUCAGAAAAAUUGUUGAGGCAAUGGCAAAAAACGAACAUCUUACAAGAGAUGGCUUCAGAAGAAUUUUGCAAUUGCGCGAAACAUUAAAUGAAGGUCGGGGCAGAAAGCGUAAAUAUCAAUUAUCAGAUGUUUACAAAGAAGGCUCCUCAGAGACUAUACGCGAGACCCCGCCAUCGGCGGGGAAGAUAUAGUCCGAUCUCAUGGGCGACUAUGAGCUAACACAAAUAAACGGUCCUAAGGUGGAAUGCCUGCCUUAGUAAAAUUCUGCUGUAUCGGUGAACACCCGCCAACAUCUGCGAAGUUGUGGCGGGCAAUACCGAGGGAAGUGCGAAUACUGAUUUUUGGAAAAAAUAAAAAAAGGAAAAAGGGUCAACUUUUUGACCCCUUAAAAACCCUGCGAAAAUCUUCGAUAAACUUUAUUACGGCGUAAAUCAGAACUGCUGCCACUCCUACAGACAAUAAGCUAGCCACGAUAUAUAGCGAAGUUUGCAUGGCUUGUCCCUCCUCUGUCUUAAAGUUAUCAUAUAUUGUUUAUUAUGUCAAGUACCCAAAUUUGACUCCAAAAAUCAGUAUUCGUACCCCGUAGAGACUAUACGCAGAAGUCGCCUCAGGCGACAAGAUAUAGUCCGACCUCCGUGGCAACACGGAGAGCUAACCAGAAAUGAGUUAGCCCGUAAUGUUUUGGUCAAUUGCCAAAUGUUAAUUGUCAAUUGUCCAAUUGUUACGCAGUAACAAUUGUGAGCGCAAUUCCUUGUCAGGUGAGUUCUGACGCGCACGAAAGGCGUAACGACUGGGGGACUGUCUCGGGGAUUUGCUCGGUGAAAAUGCGAUACCGGUGAAGAUGCCGGUUAGGUGUAGUUAGACGAAAAGACCCCGGAAGCUUUACUGCAAGUUGUUAUUGGCUUUACGUUUUUACUACGUAGCGUAGUGGGGAGCCGUUGAAAUCCCGCUUUUGGGCGGGACGGAGGCGCCAAUGAAACACCCAUUUUUAAAAAUGUAAAAUCUAACUCCGACGGCAAAAACGUCGGAGGACAGUAGCUGCUGGGCAGUUUGUGUGGGGCGCAAUCCUCCUAAAAAGUAACGGAGGAGUUUAUUAAGGUCGGCUUAGCGCGGAUGGACAUCGCGCCGGACCUGUAAGAGGAAAAGCCGGCUUAACUGCGAGGGGGGCAUCCCGAGCAGGUGGGAAACCAGAAUCUAGUGAACCGACCGUUGGCACUCGAUGCCGCGGAAGAUUAACGGAUAAAAGCUACUCCGGGGAUAACAGGCUAGUUCCGUCCAAGCGUCCAUAGCGACGACGGAGUUCGGCACCUCGAUGUCGGCUCAUCUUAUCCUGGGGGUGGAGAAGCUCCCAAGGGUUUGGCUGUUCGCCAAUUAAAAAGGUACGUGAGCUGGGUUCAGACCGUCGUGAGACAGGUUGGACUCCUAUCUACUACACCCGUUGAUUCUUGAGGGGGGUUCUUCCUAGUACGAGAGGACCGGAAGGAGGCGACCUCUGGUUUGCCUGCUCUGCCGCCAGGCGGAACGCAGGGUGGCUAAGUCGCUAAGUGAUAAGCGCUGAAAGCAUCUAAGCGCGAAGCACGCCCCAAGAUUAGGAAUUAUUGAUUCCUCGAAGACUACGAGGUUGAUAGGCUCUAGGUGUAAGGACCGCAAGGCCUUAAGCCGAGGAGUACUAAUAGAUCAAACAACCUGAUAAG
rnacentral:rRNA from 1 species